CAACCAUCACACUCUUGUUCUCUUCUUCAUCUUCUAAACCAAUCACAUAAGUAUGUUCCUUCGAGCUUACCUCAAUCUUCUUUGUCAUUGGACUGCCAUUGAUUUGAAUCUCAGAAGCUUGUCCUGUUCCUUUAAGUCCCAAAACACUCAAUUUCUCAAUCACCCAUCCUUUGCUCAAUGCAAACUUACCUUCUUUCACUUGUGACCACAUUUUCACAGUCCCGUUUCCAACCGAAGCGUAGAAGUCAACGUACGUGGACUGUCCAUUUCCUAGCUUCAUUUCGGGAAGCUCGUCUUCGUCUAGAUAGAGUUUCCCGGUGGCGUAACCUUCAGAAGCUCCAGCAGGGAAAGUAAUGACGAGGCUAAACGGUGUGGUUCUCGCGUCUUUGGAAAUCAACCCGCCUUGUUGCAUUGGUAAGAUAGUGUUUUGGUAAAGAUGAACGUUCACAAAGUUCAAAGGAGCUGGGAGAGUUACGCGCUUCCCGUUCUUGGACACAACGGCUUGAGUCAUGUCAAACAUGUGGUACCAAGAACCUGGUGGGAACAAUGCUUCUACUU
rnacentral:lncRNA from 1 species